CUUCUUUUCACUUAUACAUUUAUUACCCUUGCUCAGAUCACUCUUCACCUCAACUAUUGCAGUAACCCAUGGCUGGCACAUAUAAUGAUUGGAAUUCAAGUCUCAAGUCUCUCUUUAAAUUGAUCCUCUAAUGGUACUGGCUAAGAGACAAAAAGGAGGAUCAAUGGAAUAGAUUUGGGAAAGAAAGAACUUCCCUGCAUAGAGACCUUAAAAGCAGACAAAAGCCUGGAGGAAACUGUGGAAAGUAAUCUCAUUAUGGUCCUUAAACUGACUGAAGAAAAUACUUUAACAAAAAUCCAGUCCCAAGUAAAAGAGAAGUCAUUGCAUGUGUGAUGACCAGCAUUGCUCUGAUCAACUUGGAAAGGGAACAUGUAUUUGGCAAAUAAACUAAGUAUUGCAGACAUCAAAAUGUCACCAACUCAAACAAAGAACAAAGGAUUCAACCACUCCCUCCCAGCCUAGAAACCUCAGGACCAUUCAGAGGGAAGAUGAAGAGGAUAGUGUUUUAGAGUGUUUAGAAUUAAAGCUGAGGAAUGAAUCAACAAUUUCUCUUAAUUCUCUGCAAAAAAAAAAAGUGUAUGUGAUUAUUAUUAUUUAGCAUGCUUAAAGCUUUUUGUGGUUUUUAAAGGUUUCAGUAUUGUUGGCAGUACCUCUGAGGAGUCCAUUAUCACUUAAAGAUUAGGGAAGAAGGGAAGAGAAAGCAGUGGAUUUUGCUCUGUCACUAAAGUAAACUUACCACAAAAUUCCUUUUCUGAUACUUCUCUGUAACAUGAAUGUGAACAUGGGCUCCUGAAGACCAGGAGAGUAGAUCACAAGCUCUGGCAGGGGUUAUCAAAAACAUCAAGUUGAAUCCUGGCUUCUAUCCCAGAGCCAUAGGAACUCAGUGCUGAAGGCUUAUUACCACCAGUAGCCUGGACUUGUAGUAAUGAGUUAUUUGACUGGGACAACCCAAUAAACAAAUAAAAAAUAUUAACCGGCCUGAUUCCUAUGCAUGCUGCUUCUGUAGAAAUAAUAGCAAUGUUAAAAAUCAGAACAGAGCAUGGCAAGAUUCUUACAGUUUUUUAAAAAUCCCAAAAAGUUAAUUUACCUAUUGCUACUCCAAAUGUGAGGUGUAUGCUCCAUGAGUCAAAACACUCCUAGGGGCCUAGAGGAAGACAUUCUCCUACUCCAGUGUGUUGGAGACAGCCCUGUAGAUUAAUAAUAGAAUUUAUGGAAGAACAUGUACAAGAAAUUCUUAAGGUGAGGAGGCUAAAAAUGGAAUUGCAUAAUUAAAGGGAGUUCUCACAUUGAUGAGAUUACAGAUCCAUUGAAUUAUUUGAAUGAAUCCAUGAAUUCUUAAAUGUGGGCAGUAGCUACCCUGGUUAGGACUGUAAUCCUCAUUAUAUGAAAUUUUUAUCAAUGCCCUUUCCAUAAAUCCUCCAUAAAGAAUUCAUUCAACAUACUAGAGGCCUUUCUGUGGUUAACAUUCUAGAAGCCUUUCUCUGGUUCUUCUAGUAUCUUGGGGGUUAUCAAUUAUCUUUUACUCUGGUCACAUCACUGACCCACCUCCUUUUCCAGAUAAACAUAUCCUUGAUUAUAUAUUUAUCCACUUCUGGUACAUAAAGCAUCAUUGAUAAUAUGCAAGAAGCUAAUUGCAACCAUGAUGCAUUCAAUCACAAUGGCAUUUAUUCAAUGAACAUCUAUUAAGUUCCUACUAGGAAUAAGGCAUUGUGCUGAGUGCUGAGGGUGCAGGACAGAAAGGAAACAAUCCCUUAGGUCAAGCAGCUUGGAGUUCUAAUGGGGAAAUUGUGGCAUGGGCAUGACCCAGCAUUCCCUAAAACAUCUGCUAUGAAGAAAAUGCUUUGUUAGCCUUAAAGGACAGGACAUCUCAUUCCCCAGUAAGUUGGCCACUAGGUGAAUUCUACUAUGGCAAGCCACUGAACCAAGGAAAAUUAAAGAUAAUACUGGGUCAUAUGCAGUCUCCUAUUUCUGCAGCUAGGGUGACAGAAUGGCAGAAGAGACAGCAGAGUGAGUAAGUUAGGACUCACAUAGUGUAUAAAUAGUAAGUAACUCAAGUAGAUCCUCUAAGUGAGAUCUUUGUCCAGUGACCAAUAUAUUAAUAGUGGAAGUAUUGGACUGCAUCAGCACUGACAUUCUUAUAAGAUACAACUAACUUGAACAAUGGCUCACAAGUAGAUUCUCCUUAUUGUUGCAAAUAAGGGAGUCAGUGGAACUGGUUUUUAUUGUGAACCAAAAGGCAUUAAGAAACGUCCCUAAAACUAUGUCCAAAGGGCGAUAAAAGACUGUCUGCCCUUUGAUCCAGCCAUAGCACUGCUGGGCUUGUACCCCAAAGAGAUAAUGGACAAAAAGACUUGUACAAAAAUAUUCAUAGCUGCACUCUUUGUGGUGGCCAAAAAUUGGAAAAUGAGGGGAUGCCCUUCAAUUGGGGAAUGGCUGAACAAAUUGUGGUAUAUGUUGGUGAUGGAAUACUAUUGUGCUAAAAGGAAUAAUAAAGUGGAGGAAUUCCAUGGAGACUGGAACAACCUCCAGAAAGUGAUGCAGAGCGAAAGGAGCAGAACCAGGAAAACAUUAUACACAGAGACUGAUACAUUGUGGUACAAUCGAAGGUGAUGGACUUCUCCAUUAGUAUCAAUGCAAUUUCCCUGAACAAUCUGCAGGGAUCUAAAAAAAAAAAUACUACCCACAAGCAGAGGAUAAACUGUGGGAGUAAAAACACCGCUGAAAAGCAACUGCUUGACUACAGGGUUGGAGGAGAUAAGACUGAGGAGAGACUCUAAAUGAACACUGUAAUGCAAACUCCAACAACAGGGAAAUGGGUUCGAGUCAAGAACACACGUGAUAACCAGUGGAAUCAUGCGUCGGCUAUGGGAGAGGGAAGGGGGGGGGGGAGGAAAAGAAAACGAUCUUUGUUUCCAGUGAAUAAUGUAU